ACAUGAACUUGAGUGGUUUUGUAAUGUUUGCUCCCAAAACUAGUUGUUUACAAAAUGUUACAAGGAUCCUGAAAUUUGUUGUUAAGAUUAAACACUGAAAUAAAGUAGUUGCUUAUUUGUUUUCAAGCCACCUGUUCAUAAAGAUGGUUAAUGGAUGGAUAGGAGUGAUUUCAGGGAGAGAUUUUUUUAAAAGCCUGCACUGGAAAAAUGAGACCUUUGCCUCGGAGGUGGCAAGCAAAACGUCAAGAUCUCCUGAUGGUCAUGGCAGUGAGACCUGACCCUCCUCUAGUGUCUACAGUCCCUUUGUAAAUAGCUCUGUGGUAUGCCAGUGGUCAGCUCUGACAUCACCUGGACUACAUGCAGCAUUUUGAUUGACAUCUUUCAUUACAUCUUGGACCACACUUCACUGUUCCAGAAAGCAUCUCAGGGAAGAUGAUCCUUUUUU